GGUAAAUCACCCGACCGACCAUCUCCCUGACCCGAGUCAUUUUGGGCCAAACACCCAUUCUGAUAAUCAACCAGACCACAGUAAUGUUGAGGACACAAACAAAAUAGAAGCUAAAGACAAAAACAAGGGUACUGAUAAGACCGAUAAAAAGAAACCUAAACUGACGCUGAAAGAGAAACGGAAGAAAAAGAAGGAAAAGAAAGAAAAUCUACGAGGGGCAUCGGAAUCAGCAGCUAUUGUAAUGGCUGGUACGAACAAUCAAAACCUGCAG